rnacentral:rRNA from 1 species
GGCGGGCCCGUUGUCUCACGACGACCGCCGGAGGACCGCUUAACGGCGUCCUCUGGUCCGCGCCCGCCGAUGGCCCCAAAAUCUCAA